rnacentral:rRNA from 1 species
CAGGAUGAACGCUGGCGGCGUGCUAAUACAUGCAAGUCGAGCGAACAGAUAAGGAGCUUGCUCCUUUGACGUUAGCGGCGGACGGGUGAGUAACACGUGGGUAACCUACCUAUAAGACUGGGAUAACUUCGGGAAACCGGAGCUAAUACCGGAUAACAUUUGGAACCGCAUGGUUCUAAAGUGAAAGAUGGUUUUGCUAUCACUUAUAGAUGGACCCGCGCCGUAUUAGCUAGUUGGUAAGGUAACGGCUUACCAAGGCGACGAUACGUAGCCGACCUGAGAGGGUGAUCGGCCACACUGGAACUGAGACACGGUCCAGACUCCUACGGGAGGCAGCAGUAGGGAAUCUUCCGCAAUGGGCGAAAGCCUGACGGAGCAACGCCGCGUGAGUGAUGAAGGGUUUCGGCUCGUAAAACUCUGUUAUUAGGGAAGAACCAAAUGUGUAAGUAACUGUGCACAUCUUGACGGUACCUAAUCAGAAAGCCACGGCUAACUACGUGCCAGCAGCCGCGGUAAUACGUAGGUGGCAAGCGUUAUCCGGGAAUUAUUGGGCGUAAAGCGCGCGUAGGCGGUUUCUUAAGUCUGAUGUGAAAGCCCACGGCUCAACCGUGGAGGGUCAUUGGAAACUGGGAAACUUGAGUGCAGAAGAGGAAAGUGGAAUUCCAUGUGUAGCGGUGAAAUGCGCAGAGAUAUGGAGGAACACCAGUGGCGAAGGCGACUUUUCUGGUCUGUAACUGACGCUGAUGUGCGAAAGCGUGGGGAUCAAACAGGAUUAGAUACCCUGGUAGUCCACGCCGUAAACGAUGAGUGCUAAGUGUUAGGGGGUUUCCGCCCCUUAGUGCUGCAGCUAACGCAUUAAGCACUCCGCCUGGGGAGUACGACCGCAAGGUUGAAACUCAAAGGAAUUGACGGGGACCCGCACAAGCGGUGGAGCAUGUGGUUUAAUUCGAAGCAACGCGAAGAACCUUACCAAAUCUUGACAUCCUUUGAAAACUCUAGAGAUAGAGCCUUCCCCUUCGGGGGACAAAGUGACAGGUGGUGCAUGGUUGUCGUCAGCUCGUGUCGUGAGAUGUUGGGUUAAGUCCCGCAACGAGCGCAACCCUUAAGCUUAGUUGCCAUCAUUAAGUUGGGCACUCUAGGUUGACUGCCGGUGACAAACCGGAGGAAGGUGGGGAUGACGUCAAAUCAUCAUGCCCCUUAUGAUUUGGGCUACACACGUGCUACAAUGGACAAUACAAAGGGCAGCUAAACCGCGAGGUCAUGCAAAUCCCAUAAAGUUGUUCUCAGUUCGGAUUGUAGUCUGCAACUCGACUACAUGAAGCUGGAAUCGCUAGUAAUCGUAGAUCAGCAUGCUACGGUGAAUACGUUCCCGGGUCUUGUACACACCGCCCGUCACACCACGAGAGUUUGUAACACCCGAAGCCGGUGGAGUAACC